GACGAACGUUGGCGGCGUGCUUAACACAUGCAAGUCGAACGGAAAGGCCCUGCUUUUGUGGGGUGCUCGAGUGGCGAACGGGUGAGUAACACGUGAGUAACCUGCCCUUGACUUUGGGAUAGCUUCAGGAAACUGGGGCUAAUACCGGAUAGGAGCUCCUGCUGCAUGGUGGGGGUUGGAAAGUUUCGGCGGUUGGGGAUGGACUCGCGGCUUAUCAGCUUGUUGGUGGGGUAGUGGCUUACCAAGGCUUUGACGGGUAGCCGGCCUGAGAGGGUGACCGGCCACAUUGGGACUGAGAUACGGCCCAGACUCCUACGGGAGGCAGCAGUGGGGAAUAUUGCACAAUGGGCGGAAGCCUGAUGCAGCAACGCCGCGUGCGGGAUGACGGCCUUCGGGUUGUAAACCGCUUUCGCCUGUGACGAAGCGUGAGUGACGGUAAUGGGUAAAGAAGCACCGGCUAACUACGUG
rnacentral:rRNA from 1 species